ensembl:lncRNA
UUAUGUAGCAUAAUUUCACAAAGUUAAAGUCAGACCAUUCUGUUUUUGCUUCAAAUUUUGAAAUUAUACAAUCUAAUUUAGAUUAAAAACUGCUCAUGCAGCAUAUUGGCUUGAAGAAGGGCAAGGGGACAAUAGUAUCGGAUGUAUUUGAAAUUGUGUAUAUUGUAUAUCCCAUGUAUAUGUGUGUGUGUGAGUGUGUGUAUAACACCUGAUGAUAUUUUCUCUGGGCUUUUGAGUUACAACAAAUGGUUACAACAGCCAAAGAAAAAACUAAGACAGAAAUCAAGGGUCAAGAGCCCAACUAAAGCAAACACUGAUCUCUAACAUGGUUACUUCAAAUGAAACAAUAAAUCAACAUCUAAACCUUAGUUAAUUCUCAAUCAGAUCUUCUGUAGACGUCUGACAGAAAUAAAGUCAGUCUGGUUAUUAAUAAGUGGAGCUGGUGAUGCUGUUUGUGGGGUUGUUUAAUCAGAUCUUGAGAGAUUUAAUGUAUUUUAUUUCAGUUUAUUUUAUCUAAGGCUGUGUCUGAAGUCAGUUGUAGUUCUUGUGUUUCUCUUUUCUUCAGUGAUUCUGUUUGUUAACAGCAGCUGUUCAUCACAAUUAUCACUCAAUUAAUCACUUAAUUAUUUAAUUGCAAUGUAUAUCUUCUUUCAGUGAACUCAACUGAAUUAAGUUCAGAGUACUCACAACUAUUGGUUUUAAAACUUAAAUGGUUUAAGGCAAUCGGUUUCCUCAAACGGUUUGAGUUAACAUAACUUGUCAGGUUUUAGUGAGGCUGUGUCUGAAGUCAGUUGUAGUUCCUUUCUCUCUUUUCUUCAGUAAUUCUGUUUGUUAACAGCAGCUGUUCAUCACUAAUGCUCAAUUAUCACUCAAUUAAUCACUUAAUUACUUAAUUGCAAUGUAUAUCUUCUUUCAGUGAACUCAACUGAAUUAAGUUCAGAGUACUCAUAACUGUUAAGUUUUAAAACUUAAAUGGUUUAAGGGAAUCGGUUUCCUCAAAUGGUUUGAGUAGACCUAACUUGUCAGGUUUUUAAGGAUAUCUGUUUACUCAAACGGUUUGAGUUAAGUUACUUGUCGGGUUUUACAGUGUACCAGAACUAAUUGUGGAACUACCCACUUUUGGGCAUUUUCGCACCGCAGGAACGGGACUGCGAAUUUAGUACCGGACUGCCUUUUUCGAGAACCAAAUUAGCUCCUACUCCGGAGCAGGGUCUAACCAGCACAACUGGUACUACACAGCAAAAAAUCCAGAGUGAAAUCAACUCUGCUGGGAGUACAUGUGAGACCACAUUCAAGAGUGUGAAAGUGUUAAAAUAGGAGUGUUAAAUUAACACUGAAGCAGAGUUAAAGUUAAUGAGAUAAUUAAGUGAUUAACUGAGUGAUGAUUGACCAUUAUUGACGAGACCUGAUGUAAACAAGCAGAAUCAACAAAGACAAAAAUCAAAAAAAAAUUAUGUCACCAUUAUAGUGGUCAGUGUUUGCUUUAGUUGGGCUCUUGACCCUUAAGUUUUUAAAAUUAGAUUUGGUUUGGCUGUUAUAACUCAGUUGUAAUAGAGAGACGAGCAAAAAUUAAAAACAUGAUUAUGUGAUAUUAGUUAUGUUUUUACAUAAUAAUUAUUUGACCUGAAUCACCAAGCUUAUUUAAAGCCUAAAACAUAAUGGAAAUUACUAAGACAAUUCAGGUAAUAAUUUAUUCAUGUCACAGU